AUUGAACGCUGGCGGCACGCCUAACACAUGCAAGUCGAGCGGCAGCGAGAGUAGUAGCAAUACUACUUGUCGGCGAGCGGCGGACGGGUGAGGAACACGUAGGAAUCUACCCAGAAGAGGGGGAUAACCAAGGGAAACUUUGGCUAAUACCGCAUAAUCUCGAGAGAGAAAAGCUGCCCGCAAGGGUGGCGCUUUUGGAGGAGCCUGCGUCCGAUUAGCUAGUUGGUAGGGUAAAGGCCGGCCAAGGCGAUGAUCGGUAACUGGUCUGAGAGGACGACCAGUCACACUGGGACUGAGACACGGCCCAGACUCCUACGGGAGGCAGCAGUGGGGAAUAUUGGACAAUGGGGGCAACCCUGAUCCAGCGAUGCCGCGUGAGUGAAGAAGGCCUUCGGGUCGUAAAGCUCUUUAGGUUGGGAAGAAGGGUGCGAGGGUAAUAUCCUUGUACUUUGACGGUACCAACAGAAUAAGCACCGGCAAACUCUGUGCCAGCAGCCGCCGUAA
rnacentral:rRNA from 1 species